rnacentral:rRNA from 1 species
UACUCGAGUGGCGAAAGGGCGAGGAAUACAUGGGCAACGUGCCUUAUGCACGAGGAUAACUGCGGGAAGCUGCAGUUAAUACUCGAUAAGACCACAGCACCUUCGGGUGCAGGGGUCAAACGGUGGGGACCUUCGGGCCUACCGGCAUUUGAGCGACCCAUGUCCUAUCAGCUUGUUGGUGAGGUAACGGCUCACCAAGGCGACGACGGGUACCGGGACUGAGAGGUUGACCCGGCGCAUCGGGACUGAGACACUGCCCGGACUCCUACGGGAGGCUGCAGUAACGAAUAUUCCGCAAUGGGCGAAAGCCUGACGGAGCGACGCCGCGUGUGGGAGGAAGCCCUUCGGGGUGUAAACCACUGUCAGGGAUUACCAAGCAAAGUUGGCGAAUAGCCUUCUGCGUUGAGGAGUCCCAGAGGAAGCCACGGCUAACUUCGUGCCAGCAGCCGCGGUAAUACGAAGGUGGCGAGCGUUGUUCGGAAUCACUGGGCUUAAAGGGCACGCAGGCGGACUGUAAAGCGUCUUGUGAAAGCCCCCGGCUUAACCGGGGAAUUGCUAGGCGAACUGGCAGUCUUGAGGCAGGUAAGGGCGAGUGGAACUCUUGGUGGAGCGGUGGAAUGCGUAGAUAUCAAGAGGAACGCCGGAGGCGAAAGCGACUCGCUGGGCCUGACCUGACGCUGAGGUGCGAAAGCCAGGGUAGCGAACGGGAUUAGAUACCCCGGUAGUCCUGGCCAUAAACGAUGUCCACUAGAUCGGUGAACUUCUGACAGUGCGCCGGUCGAAACAAAAGCGUUAAGUGGACCGCCUGGGGAGUACGGUCGCAAGGCUAAAACUCAAAGGAAUUGACGGGGGCUCACACAAGCGGUGGAGCAUGUUGCUUAAUUCGAUGCAACGCGAAGAACCUUAUCCUGGACUUGACAUGUUUGGAUGCCUCCCUGGAAACAGGGUUGGUUGCCCUUCGGGGUGAAACAUUCACAGGUGCUGCAUGGCUGUCGUCAGCUCGUGUCGUGAGAUGUUGGGUUAAGUCCCGUAUCGAGCGCAACCCUUGUCGUUAGUUGCCAGUGCGUAAUGGCGGGGACUCUAGCGAGACGAGCCGGUGUUAAACCGGAGGAAGGUGGGGAUGAUGUCAAGUCCUCAUGUCCUUUAUGUCC